AUUGAACGCUGGCGGCAGGCCUAACACAUGCAAGUCGAACGAGUGGCGGACGGGUGAGUAAUGUCUGGGAAACUGCCCGAUUGAGGGGGAUAACUACUGGAAACGGUCGCUAAUACCGCAUACCAUCGGAUGUGCCCAGAUGGGAUUGGCUAGGAGGGGGGGUAACGGCUCACCUAGGGGACGAUCCCUAACUGGUCUGAGAGGAGGACCAGCCAAACUGGAACUGAGAGACGGUCGAGACACCUACGGGGGGCAGCAGUGGGGAAUAUUGCACAAUGGGCGCAAGCCUGAUGCAGCCAUGCCGCGUGUAUGAAGAAGGCCUUCGGGUUGUAAAGUACUUUCAGCGAGGAGGCGUUACUCGAAGAAGAAGCACCGGCUAACUCCGUGCCAGCAGCCGCGGUAAUUC
rnacentral:rRNA from 1 species